rnacentral:lncRNA from 13 species
AUGUCACUCUCAUCAUGUCUGUGCCCUUCCAAUUCUCUUCAGACCAUGGCAUGCCAACAUGUGUCUGCUUGUCCCACCUUGAGAUCAUCAUGGAGAGUGGCUCUUGAUGUUGCUUGUAGAGUCAGCCAGCCAUGGAAGGGGAGUAGGUUGUCUUACUCUGGUUUUGCUCCCAUGGAGCCUGGUCACCAGGACAGACGUAAAGAUGACUCCACCAUCUUGGCUGAACAGACACUGCACACACCUGUCAUGCUUAGAAGUGCUCCAAUGUUUAGAUAUUCAACCUGGCCAGGUCCACCCACGACCACUGCAAUAGAUUUUUAUCCUCCAGCAUCCCUCAUUACCAGCCCACAGAUGAUAGUGGGUGAGUGUUUCUCUGUGCCCCCNNNNNNNNNNCAGAGGAAAAGUGAUCUGCAAUGGGCUGGGGGCUGCCCAGCUGUUCUCCCUGGCCGAAACCUACAUCUGGAACCAGGAAACCCUUAUAUUUCCAGCUGAUCCUAUGGGAGCUCAAAGUUUGCAGCUAAAAGGAGGUUGUCCCAAUUAAGCAAAAUGAGUCUUUCGUCAGAGCAAGAUUUACAAUGUACAGCCCGAGAGAGAGAGGAAAUGGGCCAAUGGAGAA